CCAGGAAUCCUGUGGGGAGAGGCUGGUGCUGGGGGAAGACAGAGGAAUGCCUGGAGAGGACAGAAGUGAGGACUACACCUGUUGGUCUGGAUUGCAGCUGGAAUUGGAAGGGAAAUGCAUUUCCAUUGAAGGAAGAAGUGUAACAGUGAGCAGGCAGGUGUCAGCGGAUCUCAAGAGAAUAAUGUCAACUGGACAAUGGCUUAGAGGCAGGAGGAGGCAGAUCAGCUAGGCAGAUGUGCAGAAGUUAAGUGUGGUUUCAUGCAGAAACUUCCAAAUGGAUUCAAGAGCCAAAGCCUUCAAGAAGUUGGUGUCAUUGUCACUUGGAAUAUGUUUG
rnacentral:lncRNA from 1 species